rnacentral:rRNA from 1 species
GGGUUGUGAGGUUAAGCGACUAAGCGUACACGGUGGAUGCCCUGGCAGUCAGAGGCGAUGAAGGACGUGCUAAUCUGCGAUAAGCGUCGGUGAGGUGAUAUGAACCGUUAUAACCGGCGAUUUCCGAAUGGGGAAACCCAGUGUGUUUCGACACACUAUCAUUAACUGAAUCCAUAGGUUAAUGAGGCGAACCGGGGGAACUGAAACAUCUAAGUACCCCGAGGAAAAGAAAUCAACCGAGAUUCCCCCAGUAGCGGCGAGCGAACGGGGAGGAGCCCAGAGCCUGAAUCAGUGUGUGUGUUAGUGGAAGCGUCUGGAAAGGCGCGCGAUACAGGGUGACAGCCCCGUACACAAAAAUGCACAUAUUGUGAGCUCGAUGAGUAGGGCGGGACACGUGGUAUCCUGUCUGAAUAUGGGGGGACCAUCCUCCAAGGCUAAAUACUCCUGACUGACCGAUAGUGAACCAGUACCGUGAGGGAAAGGCGAAAAGAACCCCGGCGAGGGGAGUGAAAAAGAACCUGAAACCGUGUACGUACAAGCAGUGGGAGCCUCUUUAUGGGGUGACUGCGUACCUUUUGUAUAAUGGGUCAGCGACUUAUAUUCUGUAGCAAGGUUAACCGAAUAGGGGAGCCGAAGGGAAACCGAGUCUUAACUGGGCGUUAAGUUGCAGGGUAUAGACCCGAAACCCGGUGAUCUAGCCAUGGGCAGGUUGAAGGUUGGGUAACACUAACUGGAGGACCGAACCGACUAAUGUUGAAAAAUUAGCGGAUGACUUGUGGCUGGGGGUGAAAGGCCAAUCAAACCGGGAGAUAGCUGGUUCUCCCCGAAAGCUAUUUAGGUAGCGCCUCGUGAAUUCAUCUCCGGGGGUAGAGCACUGUUUCGGCAAGGGGGUCAUCCCGACUUACCAACCCGAUGCAAACUGCGAAUACCGGAGAAUGUUAUCACGGGAGACACACGGCGGGUGCUAACGUCCGUCGUGAAGAGGGAAACAACCCAGACCGCCAGCUAAGGUCCCAAAGUCAUGGUUAAGUGGGAAACGAUGUGGGAAGGCCCAGACAGCCAGGAUGUUGGCUUAGAAGCAGCCAUCAUUUAAAGAAAGCGUAAUAGCUCACUGGUCGAGUCGGCCUGCGCGGAAGAUGUAACGGGGCUAAACCAUGCACCGAAGCUGCGGCAGCGACACUAUGUGUUGUUGGGUAGGGGAGCGUUCUGUAAGCCUGUGAAGGUGGCCUGUGAGGGUUGCUGGAGGUAUCAGAAGUGCGAAUGCUGACAUAAGUAACGAUAAAGCGGGUGAAAAGCCCGCUCGCCGGAAGACCAAGGGUUCCUGUCCAACGUUAAUCGGGGCAGGGUGAGUCGACCCCUAAGGCGAGGCCGAAAGGCGUAGUCGAUGGGAAACAGGUUAAUAUUCCUGUACUUGGUGUUACUGCGAAGGGGGGACGGAGAAGGCUAUGUUGGCCGGGCGACGGUUGUCCCGGUUUAAGCGUGUAGGCUGGUUUUCCAGGCAAAUCCGGAAAACCAAGGCUGAGGCGUGAUGACGAGGCACUACGGUGCUGAAGCGACAAAUGCCCUGCUUCCAGGAAAAGCCUCUAAGCAUCAGGUAACAUCAAAUCGUACCCCAAACCGACACAGGUGGUCAGGUAGAGAAUACCAAGGCGCUUGAGAGAACUCGGGUGAAGGAACUAGGCAAAAUGGUGCCGUAACUUCGGGAGAAGGCACGCUGAUAUGUAGGUGAAGCGACUUGCUCGUGGAGCUGAAAUCAGUCGAAGAUACCAGCUGGCUGCAACUGUUUAUUAAAAACACAGCACUGUGCAAACACGAAAGUGGACGUAUACGGUGUGACGCCUGCCCGGU